rnacentral:lncRNA from 1 species
CUAGAUCCACGUACGCCCUGCGUGCAGGUGCCAGAUGGGAUCAGAUGUUGCACACACCUGUGGGCUGUGGCGAAAAGACCAGACGUGAGAAACAAGCCGGGAUACGAGGACGUGACAUCAAAUUAUAACAUUUUUUUCUUUGCACGUAUUCGAAGCCGAAGUCAGAGCAUAUCCAAUCGAGUGGCGUGUAGUAUCUCUUCAGUAUAAUAGUAUACGUAGCUAGCUAGUGUUCGUCCACACAUUAUUCAAUUCAAACCCCUCACUGUUCAGAUGCAGAGACACGAGCAACGUAAAAAGGCAAAUAGUGAGAGUGAAAGAAGGUUUCC